rnacentral:rRNA from 1 species
UUGCANUGCCCGAAAGCCUGAUGCAGCGACGCCGCGUGGGGGAUGAAGCUUUUCGGAGUGUAAACCCCUUUCGACCCGGACGAAUGCCUCGCAAGAGGACUGACGGUACGGGUAUAAGAAGCCCCGGCUAACUACGUGCCAGCAGCCGCGGUAAGACGUAGGGGGCCAGCGUUGCUCGGAAUUACUGGGUGUAAAGGGUUCGUAGGCGGUGUGGCAAGUCGGGAGUGAAAUCUCUGGGCUCAACCCAGAGUCUGCUUCCGAAACUGCUGUGCUUGAGUGUGGGAGAGGCGCGUGGAAUUGCAGGUGUAGCGGUGAAAUGCGUAGAUAUCUGCAGGAACACCCGUGGCGAAAGCGGCGCGCUGGACCACUACUGACGCUGAGGAACGAAAGCUAGGGGAGCAAACAGGAUUAGAUACCCUGGUAGUCCUAGCCCUAAACGAUCAGGACUUGGGGUGCCGCCCGUUCGGGCGUCGUCCCGGAGCUAACGCGUUAAGUCCUGCACCUGGGGAGUACGGUCGCAAGACUGAAACUCAAAAAAAUUGACGGA